rnacentral:miRNA from 2 species
AAAGUUGGACUAGAGAUGGUGU